GGGUGCUUAGCUCAGUGGUAGAGCAUCGCCCUUACAAGGCGGGGGUCGUGGGUUCAAGCCCCUCAGCACCCA
rfam:Gammaproteobacteria bacterium GWF2_41_13 gwf2_scaffold_5360, whole genome shotgun sequence.